CUUCUCCAAAUGUUUGCACCUCCAUCAAAGCGGCGGGGCAAGCCCCGGAGGAAGCGCGCCCGGAUCCCGCAGCCGCGCCAGGCUGGAACGUUCGCGCGGCCUCACCUGUCCCCGCUCCAGGCGCGCCUCCCUCCCCUCCCAGGGACGAGCGCAUUUGGCCGGGCUUUGGGAUGCGCCGCGCUCGUCUCGCCGCAGUAGUAGUGCUGUUCUCGCGCCUCCGAUGCCUCAACUCUCCAGUCUGGCAGUUUCCGGUGCACCUGUCCCCACACGUCCCUCGCCCACGGAGCCCCAGGCGGCGUUACGCACACCCAGGAUCGUGGAUCAGCCUGCCCCGGCGUCGGGUGUCCCCGCGGCUCUCACCAUCUGGAAAAGGAAGGUCCGCGCGCAGAGAGGGAAAUGGACGGAAAUAAGCAAAAGCAAAACAACCCCUUCUGAGAAGUGUCCUCCUCGCUCUCUUAUAAAAACAGGACUUGUUGCCGAGAGAGAAUGUCUGAAGCAUUGAAGAGUACGACCCAGGAAUUGAACCACCCAAGUCGGAGGAGGUAGAGGACCAGGCCCACUCCCUCCGCCUUUUCAGCGAAGGCUGCAGUGCAUGACAGUUUACAGCCAAAACUUCCUCCAGCCCGGCUAUAAAGAAUUCCCAGUUAAUAACAAUGCGCUUCCUUGGGAGGAAAGAGGGGCUGAGGCACCGCCAGCUGUUUCGCUCCCAGGGUCUAUCUCUCCUUGGCAAGCCCAGCCAUUCAGAGAAAAACAAGACAAAGCCUUAUGGCUGGGCCUCAGGAUGCAACUGUCCCACCGAAAACAUGCUUGAAACAUUUUAUAAGAAAACACACACACACACCCCACUCGACUCCCAGAGAGGCAGUUUUCCUGGGCCCAAUCCCUUCUGAAAAAGCAAAGCCAUUUAUCUUUAGAAGCAGGCAACAAUGAAGCUGUAACAGGCUCAAGGAGGGGUGGAGGACAGCCUCGCGUGACUCUUACCCCACACUCUAGUCCCUCUCUUUCUGCAAGAAAAACAAAUGAAUUUCUUUUCUGAUUAUAUAUGUACUCCUUGUAGAAAUAUUAUAUAUGUAUCUGUCUUCAUAUAUAUGUAAAACAGUCACCCACAGUAUCUGUGGGGGAUUGGUUCCAGGACCUACAAAGAUGGCAGAAUCCAGGGAUGCCCUAGUCCCUUGGCAUGGUAUUUGCAUAUAACCUAUGGACUUCCUCCAUGAACUAUAAAUCACUUCUGGAUUACUUAUAAUACCUAAUACAAUGUAACACUAUGCAAAUAGUAGUUAUACUGUAUUGCUUUUUAUUUGUAUAAUUUUUAUUCUUUCAUUAUUGGGGAGAGGGAGUUUGGAAUGUUUUCUAUCAAUUCAACCAACCACGGAUAUGGAACCUGUGGCUAUGGAGGGCUGGCUGUAUGUUUAUCUCUCUCUAUGUAUAUAAAUGCUAACCUCAAGCACUAAGCAAUGUUCAUA
rnacentral:lncRNA from 1 species